AAUGAAUAGUAAAUUCAAUGUGUGUACACAGAUGCUACGUGGUUUAGAGCUUCUGUUAAUUAUCAUGGAGCUCAGUGCCAUUUCAAGAAGAAAAUCCAAAGCAAUAAUGUGUUAAUCUCACCCGAUUGACUGUAACAAAACUCAACUUUAAUCAAGACUUGCUACAUGUAUAUAUACCUAUAAACUAAUGGAUAUUAGAGAAAUCACAAGCAGCUUGCCCCUUUCACAUCCACUUGCUUCCAGCUACCUAAAAAUUAAUGGAAUCAUCCCUGGGUUCUUAAAGCACCAGCAAUGGCGUGGGGGAUUUUAAUUAAUAUCCUUUCAGGAUUGGAUCAUUUGGCUUCCAUUAAAGCUUUUCCACAUUGGUAGUUGGCUGUUGGAUGAGAACCGGGGUCAAACUAGUCAUCAUCUAGUUCUGUACAGAAGUCUGGCUCUUCAGGUUUUGCACCUUGAGCAUUUCAACAUCCUUGGCGCCCCUCUCCUUGUGUUUGCAGCAAAUCUGGAGGUCUAAACUGAUUGGCGACGAACUUGAGGUCUUCUGCUCGCAAUGCAGUGCUUCCACUUCUUCUAGUGCUCUCACUGUCCUUGUGGAAGAAGGUAAGUUGAGAGUAGAUUUUGGAAGCAAUGCCCAAGCAAGCAGCUCUUCACCGCAAAAGUCACCAGGUCUCAAAGUAAUUGAAUUGAAGAAACCUGUUCGCCCUCCAUUUGUAGUUGAGCUCUCUAGCUUUCCCCUGAUAAUAAAAAGCAUCUCCGUAACCGGAUCACUUUCUCGAACUAUGUAGUUUCCUUGAGUACUCAAACAGGACACUAA